rnacentral:tRNA from 1 species
CGGGGUGUGGCUCAGCUGGUAGAGCGCGACGUUCGGGACGUUGAGGUCGCAGGUUCAAGUCCUGUCACUCCGACCA